rnacentral:rRNA from 1 species
UUAUGGUGGGCACUCUAAGGAGACUGCCGGUGACAAACCGGAGGAAGUGGGGAUGACGUCAAGUCAUCAUGGCCCUUACGGCCUGGGCUACACACGUGCUACAAUGGUCGGUACAAAGGGUUGCCAAGCCGCGAGGUGGAGCUAAUCCCAUAAAACCGAUCGUAGUCCGGAUCGCAGUCUGCAACUCGACUGCGUGAAGUCGGAAUCGCUAGUAAUCGUGAAUCAGAAUGUCACGGUGAAUACGUUCCCGGGCCUU